CACUUAUAAAGUUUUUUCUGUGGCAUACCCAAAGUUUGGGGGACAGGGGAUACCAAUUUCCUUUGCCUGCCUUGGGAUGCCUACAUGU
rnacentral:snoRNA from 1 species